UACAGGACGCUCUUCCCCUCUUCCCUCUCCUUCCCACCAAUAUCUAGUUUUCUUCCCCCACAGCUCUGAGGAUGGGGCAUAAAAGCUCUCAGAAUGUGGGCUUCCCUCCAUCAGAGUGGGGCUGUGGGUGACGGGGCCAGGCUUUGCCCAGGUGUGGGCAUAUGUCAGCAGAUGAGGGGAUGCAGUAUUUGGAAGGUCCUCUCUGGGUAUGCAGAAAGGCAGGA